UAGGGAAUCUUCCGCAAUGGACGCAAGUCUGACGGAGCAACGCCGCGUGAGUGAAGAAGGAUUUCGGUACGUAAAACUCUGAUGUUAGAGAAGAACAGCGCAUAGAGUAACUGUUAUGCGUGUGACGGUAUCUAACCAGAAAGCCACGGCUAACUACGUGCCAGCAGCCGCGGUAAUACGUAGGUGGCAAGCGUUGUCCGGAUUUAUUGGGCGUAAAGCGAGCGCAGGCGGUCAAUUAAGUCUGAUGUGAAAGCCCCCGGCUCAACCGGGGAGGGUCAUUGGAAACUGGUUGACUUGAGUGCAGAAGAGGAGAGUGGAAUUCCAUGUGUAGCGGUGAAAUGCGUAGAUAUAUGGAGGAACACCAGUGGCGAAGGCGACUCUCUGGUCUGUAACUGACGCGGAGGCUCGAAAGCGUGGGUAGCAAACAGG
rnacentral:rRNA from 1 species